UACAGAGGUCUCAAGCGUUGUUCGGAUUCAUUGGGCGUAAAGGGUGCGUAGGCGGCGAGGCAAGUCUGGUGUGAAAUCCCGGGGCUCAACCCCGGAACUGCACUGGAUACUGCUUUGCUAGAGUACUGGAGAGGGAACUGGAAUUUACGGUGUAGCAGUGAAAUGCGUAGAUAUCGUAAGGAAGACCAGUGGCGAAGGCGGGUCUCUGGACAGUUCCUGACGCUGAGGCACGAAGGUCAGGGGAGCAAACGGG
rnacentral:rRNA from 1 species